AACCUUAUAGUCUAUUAAAUUAUGACAUUAAAUUGCAAGUUUGAAAGAGAGUAAUUAUUCUAAGGUUU
rnacentral:tRNA from 1 species